rnacentral:rRNA from 1 species
GACGAACGCUGGCGGCGUGCUUAACACAUGCAAGUCGAACGGAAAGGCCUCUUUCGGGGGGUACUCGAGUGGCGAACGGGUGAGUAACACGUGAGUAACCUGCCCUUGACUUUGGGAUAACUUCAUGAAACUGGGGCUAAUACCGGAUAGGAGCUCCUGCUGCAUGGUGGGGGUUGGAAAGUUUCGGCGGUUGGGGAUGGACUCGCGGCUUAUCAGCUUGUUGGUGGGGUAGUGGCUUACCAAGGCUUUGACGGGUAGCCGGCCUGAGAGGGUGACCGGCCACAUUGGGACUGAGAUACGGCCCAGACUCCUACGGGAGGCAGCAGUGGGGAAUAUUGCACAAUGGGUGGAAGCCUGAUGCAGCAACGCCGUGUGCGGGAUGACGGCCUUCGGGUUGUAAAACGCUUUCGCUCAUGACGAAGCUUUGUGUGACGGUAGUGGGUAAAGAAGCACCGGCUAACUACGUG